GACAGAGGGUGCAAGCGUUAAUCGGAAUUACUGGGCGUAAGCGCACGUAGGUGGAUUAUUAAGUUGGAUGUGAAAUCCCUGGGCUUAACCUAGGAAUUGCAUUCAAAACUGCUAGUCUAGGGUACAGUAGAGGGAAGUGGAAUUUCUAGUGGAGCGGUGAAAUGCGUAGAGAUUGGAAAGAACACCGAUGGCGAAAGCACUCUGCUGGGCCGACACUGACACUGAGAGACGAAAGCUAGGGGAGCGAAUGGG
rnacentral:rRNA from 1 species